rnacentral:pre_miRNA from 1 species
ACAAAGAGUUGAGUUCACAAGGGAAAAAGUGAAGCUGCCAGCAUGAUCUAGCUUUGGUUAGAGAAAGAGGUAGAGUGCUAAUGAAUUAACUGCUAACCCUGACUAGGUCAUGCUGCGACAGCCUCACUCCUUCCUAUUUGGGGACCCAGUUGU